rnacentral:rRNA from 1 species
AUGAAAAACGAGGGGGAGCAGAAGAAAAUGAUGGUUCGCCAGCCGCCGCCACCGCUGCCGCCGCCGCCGCUCCUCUCUUCAUCGAGCCUCUCCACUCUUCUUCCUGGUAACUGCUACCGCCUGCUGGUCCAGGCCACCGCCGUUCCAGGCCGCUGCUGCCGCCGUCCUUCCCGGCCGGCGCCGUUGCCUCAACGUGCUGCUGCUGCUCUUCAACGAGCUGCUGCUGCUGCUGCUCUUCUUCAACGAGCUGUUGCUGCUGCUCUUCUUCAACGAGCUGCUGCUGCUGCUCUUCAAAGUGCGGCUGCUGCUGCUCUUCUCCUCCUGGUCUGCUGCUGCCAUCAAGCUGUGCCUCCGCUGCUGCUGGUCUUCAACGAGCUGCUGCUGCUGCUCUGCUGCAAUGGCGCCCUCCACCACCACCGGUGUUGUCCCAGUCCCACGAUGUCCUGUUAUCUUCAACGGACAGAACUACAGGGACUGGGUGCAGCACAUGAGGGGCCAGCUGCCCACUCUGGUGCUCUGCCUUGUCCCCUGCUGCCCACUCCUCCAGCUGAGUUGGCCUUCCCUGUUGAUGCCGAUGAAACCAAGCAACGUGAGAUGCUAGAUGCUUUUGAAGAGGCCACUGAAGAGUUUCAGAAUCAACUCCACUUAUACAAGCAAUGGACAAAUGAUGAUGCUCGAGCCUCUUCUAUCUUGGUGAACAGCAUGGAUGUUGAUCUCGCCAUGGAUGUGGUGGCCCUUACCACUGCAUAUCAGAUGUGGGAGCACCUUCGCCAUCGCUAUGAGUCUACAGGGGAUGCCAUGUAUCUCUCUGUUGUUCGUCAAGAGCAACAACUACAACAGGGAGAUGCUAUUGUGGAUGAUUUCUACAAGGAGAUGUCGGCGGUGUGGCGCCAAUUGGACUCUCUGGGAGCUGAUGUUUGUCGCAGAUGUCAGUGUUGUGUGCGGCAACAAGCUAAGCUGGAGGUUCGUCGCCUCUAUGACUUCCUCACUCGCCUCCGGCCAGAGUUCGAGCAGAGUCAUGCUCAGCUAUUGGCACACCAUCCUCGGCUCUCUACUCUGGAGGCCCUUGCUGAGGUGCGAUCUGAGGAGGUGGCAGCAACCUCCACUAGUGCUUUCUGCAACUACUGCAAGCAGGAUGGUCACAUGAUCACGGAGUGCAUCAAGAGGAGGAAACAGGGUCGUCGUGGUGGCCGUCCUCAAAAGGACUCGGGAGGCUCCUCUAAUUCUCGUGAGGGCUCCCUUGAGAAGGUUCGCCAGGAGAUGCUCACCUUGCUGUGCCGCCUUACUGCUUCUGCACCAUCCUCAGGUUCUGCUGGUUCUGCUGGUCAGACGUCUGGUCCACCACCGCACUCUUCGUCAGGAUCGUCGUACGGGGACUCUGGUUGGGAUCGGUCCUCGGCGCCAUGA